rnacentral:ncRNA from 2 species
AGCGAGGUAUAGAGUUCCUACGUG